CUUUAUCUGCUCCUUGAUGUCUCUGCCUCACUUUAUUUCCUCCCUUGCUGUGGCUGCAGAGAGACAGAGGACUGGGAAGAGGAGGAGAAGGAGGUCAGUGAGUAAGAGAGAAAGAGAGAGAGGACGAUGUGAUCGGUGAUUGGGUGUGGAUGUGGGUGUAGAGGAUAUGGACAAAGAGAAAGGUCAAGACUUGAAGCGAUGCGGCAGCUCGGGGGGUCGGUCUUCGCCCGCGAAGCGACGGCAGAGAGCGUUAUCUGGACGGAUCAGUAGCAG
rnacentral:lncRNA from 1 species